AGGGGGACAACAGUUGGAAACGACUGCUAAUACCGCAUACGAUCCAACCUCGGCAUCGAGGAUGGAUGAAAGGUGGCCUCUAUUUAUAAGCUAUCACUGAAGGAGGGGAUUGCGUCUGAUUAGCUAGUUGGAGGGGUAACGGGCCCACCAAGGCAAUGAUCAGUAGCCGGUCUGAGAGGAUGAACGGCCACAUUGGGACUGAGACACGGCCCAGACUCCUACGGGAGGCAGCAUG
rnacentral:rRNA from 1 species